UACAGAGGGGGCAAGCGUUGUUCGGAACUACUGGGCGUAAAGGGCGCGUAGGCGGCCUGUUAAGUCGAACGUGAAAUCCCCAGGCUCAACCUGGGAACUGCGUCCGAUACUGGCAGGCUUGAAUCCGGGAGAGGGAUGUGGAAUUCCAGGUGUAGCGGUGAAAUGCGUAGAUAUCAGGAGGAACACCGGUGGCGAAGGCGGGUCUCUGGGCCGAUACUGACGCUGAGGAGCGAAAGCGUGGGGAGCGAACAGG
rnacentral:rRNA from 1 species